UUUUCAAGUAAGCCUUCUCAGGCUUUGAUUCAAGUUCUUUGUACUCAGCACUUCCUACUUCAGGCAUAUGCCUACGACUUAUCGUUGGUCGAUUGGGAAUAAAGCCUCCAUAUGGAUAUUGUCCAAAGUUAACUGCAGCAUGAAGGGCUGAAGAUACCCAUAUGAUAGUAGUACAUGUUUCGACUAGUUCGUCGAAAUUUUGCAACUUAGGCCACCAUGAUUCAUUUUUCUUAUCAGCAUGACCUUUCUCUCUAACCUCUUUCCACCAAGAUUGAAGUUCAACAUCAUUUUGAAUUGUAUUAUCAUUUUUGUAGUAUAGAGAGCAAUAGUUUGUAACCCAUGUUUUGAUUGUUGACCAAAUCUCAAGCCCAUCAACAGCAAAUGGAUAAUCCUCUAUGAGUAACUUAAGUCCAUAUGUUGAUCUUGCAUCCUCAACCGCUACACCUCUACAUAAAUAAUCGAAGCAUAAUAAAACGCUCAUCUUUGUAAUAUAUUAAUAAGGGAAAAUAUUGCACAAACCACCUUAAUUACGGAGCUAGUUAUGAUUAUCAUUAUUCUAUAGGGAACUUCUUAAUUGCUUGCAACAAACUCCACCAGAGGUGACUAAUCAACUAAUUAAAAGUUCCGGUGUAUAUAAUUGCAACAAACCUUUAUAGUUUAAGAGACUAAUUUAUGAAAUUAAAAGGCUUAAUUAACUGUGUAAUUGGUGAUUUACCUCUUGAUGAGAUCAGCAGGGAGUGCUUGCUCACGGAAAUUCCAUUCUUUAUAUAUGUGAGAAGAUAACUCCAUGGCAUACUUUGAUUGAAAAUGGGUUUGUUCAAGAAGACCAUCACCAUUAACAAGGACUUGUCUUGCAAAUGCAUUGAUAAACAUAGUGUCUUUGUAAUGAGGAACAAGUAGCUUAUGAAUUGGAUGAAGCGCACUCAAUUGUCUAUGUGUUGCAAUCACAAAUGGCUCUUGUACUGCAUGAGUAUGUAACCUACAAUAAUAAUUUCCAAGCGUUACAUCAUAUAUUUCAAAUAAUUACAACCAUACAUAUUAUAAAACGUUUUAAUUUGACGAGUAAUUAAUUAUUUGCAAACAUACCAAUGGCUGAUAAGUUGAUGGUAACCAGCAUCAUUGACAACCACAUAAGCCUUAGCCAAUUGCCAUAUUGACUUUUGAACUCCUUCUUCAGCUGGAAAAAUUGUUUGCUAUUUGCACCAAACUGAUCACCUUGAGGGUGUGGCAGACUCAACUCAAUAACCAAUGGCUUCAAAGUUUCAUCAUCUUUCAAAAAUAGCAAAGUUCUUGUGGCAUAUGCUUUUGUUUUUGUUGAAUUUAUUUUUCUAAGAUAUGGCAUUAAUGCAUCAUGGUGAUCCAAUGUGAAUAGUUUCCUCUGAUUCAAUGCCUAUAUAUAGAUGAGAAAAAAAUGUUGAUUACAAUAAUAUAAUAUAAUUUGAAAAAAAAAAAAAGUUCGGGUGUUUUUAAUAUUUACCUCAUCGACUGUAAGACCUUCUAAGCCAGACUUGAUGUCUUUUUCAGUAAUCUUGCUAUGUUGAUCACCAUAAAUAUUUGGGUCAAGUUUGCUUUUGGGAGGAAAUACCUAUAGAAAUAUAUACAAAUAUUUUUUUGAAAAAAAGAUUAAUGUGCAAAGCUUGAACUGAGAAAAUAAAAAAGCUGAAUUUUUUUUACCUCAAGACGACGAAUGAUUAGAGGGUUAACUCCAGCUAGCAUUUCUCUUGCAAAUUCUUCGUCUGUUUGCCAUGCAAACUUGUCCUCUAUUCGUAAUUAUUAGAGAAAAAAAAAAAUAAAAGUAUUAUUUUCAUAAAUUUAAACACCUAAAAUAGAAUUUGAAUUUUCUAUCAAAUAGGUCAUAGAAUGUAUGUGUUAAUUAAAUAAUGAGAUGAAAAUUAAUGUAUAUAUAUAGUAUACCUUUAACAACUUGUGGGGGUGAAAAUUUGAGAAAGCGUUGGUCAUUAUCGGUCCUAAGAAGUUCUUGGAACAUUGGAGGUGUGAAAUCCUUAGUGAGAUUUCUAAAGACAUCCAAUGGAACAGGAAGUCCUCCUUCAUAAAGAUCAUGAACAUCUUGAAAUUUUUCAAACUCUCCACCUGGCCGUGUAAUAUUUACUAUGUUUAUAAGUGCUGGAAAAACUGUUGAUGCAAGUGAUUUCAGUGCAAAUCCAAGAAAAUCUGAUAACUUCAAGUGUCCAAAAUUUUCAUCUCUUGGUACGUAAAUGUUUAAUCCUGAUACCACUGACAAUCUACUCUCAUAGUUCGAAUCUGACAACAAAAAAAUUCGUAAAUUAUACUUUCAAAUAUUUGGCUAAGGAAUUUCAUAAAUUACUAAAUGGUUAACAAAUGGGCCGUAAUUAUAAAUCAUACCUUUCCAGUGUCGUUGUCGUCCAGUUCUUCCACGACGAGGGUAAGGAUAUUUGCUCCCUCCAAGAAUUGGACGCCCAUCACCGGGCUCGGAAAUGUCAUUGUAGAGAUCGUAGUCGUAAAUUCUAUCCCAUUCCUUACGUUCUCCAGUUCCAUCUCCUCUAAGAUUCAACAAUUCUUCCUCUCUAUACUUACGAAGAGGAUUCGGUGUAUCCUUUGGAAGAUAUGUCUAUACACAAAAGAAAUAAACUAAUUAUUAUUAAUUCCUUAUGCAGGAGAGAAAAGAGUGAGGUAAAACAAAGAAGGGAAAAAUAAUUUAUUCUUAUUUUCUUUCUUUUGAACAAAGUAAGAUAGAUGUCGCAAUGAGUGGAUCGAUCUCAGGAUAUCUUAACUAAGGUUGACACAUCUUCUUAACCCACGGAAAAGUAAUUCAAUACUUACGUUAUUAGCAAAGAAAAUACGAUCUUUUUUGUAUCUUCCAGAAGGGUAAACCCAUGAAUUACAAUCAAAAUGGACUCUUCCAUAUCCAGGAACAUCCUCAAGAGUGAGGGAUUUGAGAAAGAAAUGACUUGUAUGUCCAUUUUGAACGUAGAAAGCUCCUGGAUAUCCAAAAUUACUAUCAUCCCAUGAAAAGUUAACUUCGAACAGAGAUUCUCCAGCAAAUAAUGGUGGGAUAGAGGUAAUCCAUUUCUCCAAAAAUGCCUUCUUCCCAACUUUCCCUCUUGAAUCAAAUGCUGUGAAAAAAAAAUGUAUUAGCAAAAUAUAAAAGUUUUAACAACGGGACAAUGGCCAUGCAUACCAAAAUCUAUUAAUGAUAUAUAAUUUAUUAUUAUAUAUAUUGUCCAUUAGUUGUAGGCAAAUAUUUUAUAUCUAUAAUUUCUUUUUUAUUUUAUUAUCAUAUUAUAUCUGCUAAUACCUUUUGACGUGAUUGUUAUAUAUUUCCAACUGCCUCUACUUUUUAAAGUAGGGCCUACGUUGAAAAAAAACAAGAAUAUACCUUGAGGUCCUUUCUCUAUUGGAUAUAUAUUGAAAUGAGAGUGUGAGAUAUGGUGAGAAUGUUAAGAAUAAGUUAGCCUAGUAAAUAUAUGGGAUCACCUACUAACUCAUGCUGAGUUAAGUAUCUUUUAGAAAAAUAGUAAGAAAAUACCAAGAAUAGAGAGACUAAACUUAUAAUUUAACCGUAAAUUUAGAUUAGGGGGAAGAGAUGUUACAAGCUUGAGUGGCACUGAUGAGUUGAAAGGUAACACCACUACCCAAGAUCUCAGUGAAGGUAUCGAGAACAGAAGAAUGUAAUUGAGUGAAAUCCAAAACAUUACUUCUCAUAAGAAUCACUUUCCCUUUGAUUUUUUUAUCUCCAAUACUUGAAACUUUAUCAACAAUGUUACCACCGGCAUUGAGAACAGAGCCUGCAAGAUCUCCAGUAGUAUUCAAGGCUCCCUCAAUGAUGUUCUUCCCAAUUCCGAACAUUUUCACUCUUUUUGUAAUUCUUUUUUUCUCUCUAUGUUUGGAACUUAGAAGAUGGUUUGUAAUAAGAACGGUUCGGGGAUGGUAUUUAUAGCACAAAAAAGUGUUUUUCCUCUCUUUGAAUAAGAUACGAACACAAUCAUACAAUGUUUGACUACUCGUUAUUUCCAUUUCACGUAUAUGAAAUUUUUACAUUUUCAAAUGCUUAUCAACCCUAUCUUUGAAACUUUGGUUUAAGCCCUUUGUUCUCUUUUUUGUUUUCGAGUUACUUAAUCAUAAUCGUUUUUUUAUUCUAUUCUUUGCUUAUGAUUAAAGAUGGAACUUUGAAAUUAUAUAGUAAUGUCAGUUUCAUUUCUAAUUAAUCUUCAUGUAAAUUAUAUAGUGUGCUUUAUUUUUUGUUCAAAUUUAUGAUUGAUGUAUUUGUAGAGGAAUAGGAAAAAGAAAUGUGUGUUAUUUGAAUAUAUAACAAGUCAUAACUAUUAUAUAAAAUUGGUCGUGAUUAAUUAAUUAUUUGUCAACAUGUGUACGACCCAACUAAUAUAAAACUCUAUAAAUUAGGCAUACCCAACAAUAAAACUCUAUAAAUUAAGUAUGUUAAUCUAAUUGAGAUACAUUAGUGUAUUUAUUGAUAUCUUCUACUAUUUGUUACUUGUUAAUUUUAAAAAAAAAAACUAAAAAGAAAUUAAACUUAUACUAUUGCUUUUGAGAUUAAUUAGAAGUUAGGAUUCUUCCCUGGUUAUGUAUGCUUUUAAAAAAGUUCAGUUGCUUAAUCAACAAAUCUUCAAAUUAUUAUUAUGAGAUGUUGUAUUCAUUCAAAACAAGACUAAAAGAGGAAAAUGCCUUGAAAAGUUAAUGCAUACAUAAUUUUAUUAAAUUUUCAUAGAUAGGAGAAUUAAAUUUGGAACUUGAAAAAAAAUGUUCUAAUAAGGACCCACUUGCACUCAGUGGCAAACAUUAACAUAAAAAUUAAGCUCUUGGGUCCAUGGUUGAACCAAUUCUGUCCCUCAAAUCCAUGCCAAAUAAUAAAUUGGAUCACACACUAGAAAUAUCUUAGUAGCAAGUCUGAGUCGACACACCUAAUAUAAAAAAAAAAAAUCUUGACCCAAGGUAACCGAAAUUAGGAGUUUUGAGUAGAAAUUGUAGCAAGAGAAUAAAUUGCAAAAUGAAAAGUAAAACGAAUAUAAUUCAAUAUAAAAAGAAUCUUGUUGCGAUUUCUCUCUUAUCUAAAGAGAUUGAUCAUUCAUUGAAGUAUCAUUACUUAGUCAUAUGUAAUCUUCAUAUAACCAAUUUAAUUGAAACCUACCAAUAAAUUUUCUUAGGCAUAAAUGUUUAACUUUUCGACGUCUAAUUAACAUUCAAUAGGUUCAAUUCUAGGUUAGUUAGAAUCUAUGCGCAUCAAAAUAGAUUUACAUGAUAACCUAACUUAUUGCUUCUAAUUAACCAAUUCUUAUCUAAUAGUUAUGAGUCGAAGAAUUUAGUGCAAGCAAGAGUUGUACAUUCCAUGCGUCCACGUAUAUAACAAAAAUUUAAUAACAUUCAGAAUUGAGCCAAAGAUUGCAAUAAAACUAGUUUAAGUUCUCACCAAUUCUAAAGGAUAUAAAGGGAGAAUUUAAAAAACCCAAGUUAGAAAUGAGUACCUUAGCCUUUCAUUCACAUGUCGGAUGAUGAGAAAAUGUUCGGGAAUGAAAAUAGCAUUAAAGAAAGCAAAAAAUAGAGAGAAAAAAAAGUGUAGAAUAACGAUUGAUAUUUUGUGCUAAAUAUAUUUAAAAUAGCGUCCAGACGCCACGACACUCAAGCUUAUGCACACGCAUCACAUCUGCCUCAAAUGUUCAGAACGUCGCAGCGCUUGGCCAAUUAUGCAAGUUAGGACCCUUCUGCCUUACAGCACCGCUCGAGUCGUCGUGGGGCAAAUACAAGGUGGAAGCCUUUUUUACUUCUUUAGCUCAUACAAACACCUCCGUUUGCUCUUGAUUGCCUCAGGUUGGCAUUGUUAUUGUUGACGUCGUUUAACUCCAAAUAGCUCAAAGUAACUCCAAAAUGACAUCAACUCAUGAUGAAUUGCUCAACACCUAUUAAAUAUCCAAACAAAAAUGUAAAAUCAUCAAAUGAGCUCGAAUUAAGCAGAAAUGGAUAGCAUAUUUGAUACCCUAUCAAUCUAACCAUAUAAAAUUUGUAGGAAUGACAAAAUUAACAAGCUCAACCAAAUUCAAAUAUAGUUGAAUGUCUGAAAUUCCUUCAUAGUUAAAAAUGUAUGAUUAAAUUUGAUUGUCAUGAUUAUAUAUUAAUAUGAUCAAUGAAACUAUUUUUUUGUUAUUCAAUUGUUGUACUAUUAUACUCAUUUGAUUACAUUCUAUUUAAAUCUUUUUUUUUUUAUAUUUUCAAAAACAAAAAAUACAAAAAAAUAAUUAAAAUGUAUUUGGUAUAUUUGUUUUUAAUAAUGAUUUAAAAAAAAACAACUCUUGAUAUAACACUUUUUUUUAAAGGAUACGAUGGAUCAGGAGGUACACUCGAAUAUCUCAAUUAGGUGAACACCUCAUUAGCAACUUCAUCAUUCCCGCAUCAUUAGAUGAAAUAACACAUUCUUUUAAACAAUAAAUAGUCAUUUUCUUUGCUUUUAGGUUUUGUUUUAAAAAAUUGUCAAGCAUUUUCAAAUCUACGACAAAAUAGAAAAUUUGAUUUUUUAAUUUAAAUUUUAAAAUUUUAAAAUGGAAUUACAAAACAUUUUUUUGAAUGCAAUGAAAAAUAAGAAUUUGUUUUUGUUUUUUCACAAAAAUCUUUGAUUUCUAAAAUAAUUUUCAGAUCGCAAACCAAACGAGACCUAAAUAUUUUGCCCACUUUGCCAUUUCUUGUCAUUCCCCCUAAUUGUAUCAUAAAUUUUCCAAUUUCAUUUGAUGGGUCAUUUGUUAAAGUUUGUUUUUACUUCUUUUUAACUUUUGAAUUUAGUUUAGUUUUCUUUAUAAGGAGAAUUUAAUUUAGUUAAAGUAACUAAGUUGGCUAUGUUGGUUGAAAAUGACAAAAAGAGGUAAGUUUUUGAAUUGAGGGUGCUUUUAAAACUUCAGCAAAUUUGGGCAUCAUCCAACCAGUGCAUGACGAAUAAAUGUGUUAAGGAAAUAUCAACUUAGUUGAGAUAUCUCGGUGCAUCUCUUAAUUAUAUUUGAAAAAGCCAUUUAGAGAAGUUUUGUUGACGUGAAAGGCAAAUCUUCCUUUAGCCAUAGACAGAAAAGACAGAAAAGGAAAGCCUACUCUUCCUCUAGCCAUAGACACAAAGAGAUGGUGGAUGAGUUGAAAAAACAAACCCUAGAGAUUUACAGUUAAAGAACCGAUAGAGAAUUACAAUAUAGAAGAUAAAAACCAUAGAGAAAUGGAGAGAAAAACCAAUUAGCUUUGCACAUAUAAAAAAAAAAACGAAAAAAUCCUAACAAAAGUUCAAAUAAUUCAUAAUACAAUCAACAAUGAGUAUUCUUCUUAGUUAUACUUCCUAUUUUUACCGUUAUAUUAUUAUGUGAUAUUUUAUCUAUUUCUAUAUAUAUACAUUGUUUCUUUUUUGAUGCCCUAGUAUUGCUUGCUUUAUUUUGUAUAUUUAUUUCUAUUUCAUCUUCCAUAGUUGUUUUUCUCUUUACUUUAUUCCUUUAUUCACACAAAUUAAAAAAAGUAAAAUGUAUGAAAAAAGAGAAGAAAGUAAGUAAGUAAAUAAAUUAGUUAAUUAAAUAAAGCAACAUAUGUUAGAAGAAAUAGUUAGGUGUGCCCUUGCUACAAUAGAAGAUAUAUAGCCAACUUGUUGAAGAAGAGAGGAGAAAGAUGAAGUUGGAAAAGAAGAAAGAAAAAAAUUAGACGAGAGAAAAGUUGAAGAAGAUGAGAAUUAUGAAGAAAGUGUUCUAAUUUGAAACUUUUUUAAAGGUUUAAAACGAUUUUGAAUCUUAUUAUUCCUACUAGAUGUCUUCUCAAUAAUAAUUAUUAUUAUUCAAUAUAUACCAAUGCUUUUAAUAUUAAGUAAGGAGAAUUUUAAAAUUUAGCAAAAGAAAAAAAAUAUGAAAGCAUUUACAAAUAGAGCAUUAUUAUCAAUAUUAUUUUUAAUUUUUAAUUUUCACUUUUGUUACAUUUUAAUCAUAAUAUUAUUCGAAAAAAUGGUUUAAAUGACAAAACUAUAAAUAUAUAGCAAUUUUUUGAAAAAAAUUAUAAAUAUAGAAAAAUCUAUCGCUAUAGAUUUUUAUUAUUUAUUCGUGAUAGACCAAUAUUUGCAACAUGGUCUAUUAUACUAAUAGACUUUUAUUAUUGAUAGACUUCGACAAAUUUUGUUAUAUUUGUAAAUUUUUUAAAUUGUUGCUAUUUUAAUUAUUUUGAAUCUAAUUGUUAUAAUUGCAACUACCCAAACUUUUUUAUUGAAAUAAAUAAUAUUGUAAAUUUCAUUUCAAUGUCCAAUCACAAUGUAAAAAAAGGAUUGGUAGUGACUCAUUUUUUUUUCUUUUAAAAUUAAGCCUUUUAGAGGGUGUUAGUCGCUUCAUGCAUCUCGAGCAUAUGGAGACACCAUAUGUGAACUGCUUGGUUUAUGUUUUCGCUAUUGGUUUUAGAAAAUUAAGAUAAUUAGAUCAAUAAUGAGCCCAGGUUGGUUAUGAAAAAUUCUAAGUCGUUACCGAUACGCAAAUAUAAGUGAGUGAAAUGAAAAACGUGUUCGAACAAAAGUUCUUGUAAAAAGGGCACAUGACGAGAAAAUAGCCUAAAGGAUUCACUUGCUGAGUAGUUUAAAUAUUCAUAAUUUUCCUAAAAUGCUUUUCAGGUAAAGGUAAGAAAGGACGAAGGCGCUUAACGAGAAGAUUAUUUGUUUCCGCUCAGUGUUAUGUAUUUAAGAAGUCUUAAAUGUUUAAAAGAGAAGGAGUAUUCAGUUGAGUAGUUCAAACUUCAAGACCUUUUUAUCUACGUUUUAACCCAUUGCGAUUAUUUCAUCAAACUUCUAUAUAUUCACUUAGAAAAUCUUUAUAUGGGAGUUUAUGAUAAGCUAAUUUUGAUUUUAAAUUGUGUGGGUGGUAGUAAUUAAUGGCCUCAGUUAAAGAUCAGGAGAGACAUGGUUACAAACUUACCCCUAUUUUAUAUCUAAACGAUUCAAUCGUUUUCUCCUUAAUAUAUAAUCACGUAGCUAGUUUAAGAAAUUUGCUUAUUAUACAACACACAUUACUUUAAAAGCAAACCUUUUAUUCAUUAAUAUAUAUAUCAAGUACAAAGCUACUCUAAAGCACUCUUUUCUUUUAUUUUAUAUCAUGACUAGCCAAAGAAAGUAGCUUUUUUUUUUUCAAACAUUAAACAUAGGAGAGUUACAAUAGAACAUAAAGGAACGAAAUAUUACUAAUCCAACCACAUGCUCAAAGUGCCCCUUCAAAUAGAGAUACUGUUUGGAAUUCCUCUACCUGUUAGACCUUCAGUACUUGAUGGAAGAAGCAGAGUAUAUGGAACAUUAACAGGUCCACUUCUAUUCUUGAGAUUCCCAUCUUUGUUCCUUUCAAUAAUUCUACUUUCAACGUCAUACAUAUCUUUUCCAAAUUUCUCAAACCUUUCUAUUGCAUCUUUGUCUGAAGUCCACUUAAUGCUAUCCCUUUGUCCAAGAUAAACUUCAUCAGAAGCAUGCCUUGACAAUAUUUCAAUUAGUGAAACUCCAAGAAGUGUUUGCAACAUUGAAUUGACUGUUUUCAAGUAAGCCUUCUCAGGCUUUGAUUCAAGUUCUUUGUACUCAGCACUUCCUACUUCAGGCAUAUGCCUACGACUUAUAGUUGGUCGAUUCGGAAUAAAGCCUCCAUAAGGAUAUUGUCCAAAGUUAACCGCAGCAUGAAGAGCCGAAGAUAUCCAUAUGAUGGUAGUACAUGCUUCCACCAGUUCGUUGAAAUUUUGCAACUUUGGCCACCAUGUUUCAUUUUUCUUAUCAGCGUGACCUUUCUCUCUAGCCUCUUUCCACCAAGAUUGAAGUUCAACAUCAUUUCGAAUUGCAUUGUCAUCUUUGUAGUAUAGAGAGCAAUAGUUUGUCACCCAUGUUUUGAUAGUUGACCAAAUCUCAAGCCCAUCAACAGCAAAUGGAUAAUCCUCUAUGAGUAACUUAAGUCCAUGUGGUGAACUUGCAUCUUCAACCGCUACACCUCUACAUAAAUAAUCAAAGGAUAUGAAAAUGCUCAUUUUUUAAUAGUUAAUUAUAAGGGAAAAUUCCACAAACCACCUCUGAAUUAUGGGACUAAUAAUGAUCAUCACUCUACGGAGACUAAUAAACUCCACCCGGAGGUAACUGAUCAACUAAAUUAAAAGUAAAGGUGUGUAAUUGUAACAGAGGCUUGAUGGUGUGAUUGGUGAUUUACCUCUUAAUGAGAUCAGCAGGGAGUGCUUGCUCAAGGAAAUUCCAUUCUUUAUAUACGUGAGAAGACAAC
rnacentral:lncRNA from 1 species